UGUGGCCUAAAUUUGCUUUUGGUAAAAAUCGAACAUAAGACCUCUCAUUUACAAAUGAAGAAGAAUAUCACUAGACUGUAAUACUAAGUGGAUCGCAUAACUUCAAAGUUCUUAUAAGGUCUGUGCAUUUGGGUUGGUAUAAUCGCAUCCCAUAAUAUAUAUUUUUAUUGUUUGGUAGUAGAUAGAUGCAAGGCAUAAAGAGAUUUAGGUGACAAAUACUAAGCACGCGAGCAUCUUACUCUAUAAUUAAAUGGUAUGUACGUGUCAUUUGUCAAUAUCCAGGGUUAUGUCAUUACCUUGCUUUACCAACAAACACUUCAAGACUCAGGAGGAGGAAUAUAAUAAUGAGAACUUUAACGAAAAACACCCGGUACUGUUCACUUUAACGAAAAACCACAUUUUUACAUUAAAAAGUCAAUCAUGGUACUAUUCACUUUACCCUUUAUUUUGUCCUUAUCAUUAAAACUCAAAGUUUUUAAGCCAUUUUCAUUAAUUUUCCUUAUAAUAUAAGCAUACAGUAUAUUCCAGGGCUCACCACCACUAUCUUUUUCACUAGAAAAAGAUUAUCUUCGGAUUCUUUCCAUCAAAUUCAUCCAAUCAAUCAAGUUGGGCUCUUGAAAUUUGAGUCAAUGAUUACAAACAGGAGGUCUUUUUAAAAGUUAUAAUAAGUCUAACCGUUUGAUCAAAUUUCAAGAACCCAGAUAAGAUGAUUGGGUGAAUAUGGUGGAAGUUGAAUCCCUUUCCUUUUUCACCAUUGUUGUGAUUUGGCUCGACAAAAUAUCUAGGUCAAAUAGGUAUAAAUUUUCAAUUGGUGUUCAGAAAAGAGAAAAGUAAUGUGCACAGGUUAUUUCCCAUAAAAGUUGGGAAAUAUGUUUUUCUUUGUAGUCCCAAUCAGUUUAGGAUUAUGAAAUAAGUUAGUUUUCUCUAUUCUAAAAGGACUUAGGCCCCGUUUGG
rnacentral:lncRNA from 1 species